AUGGCAUGUAUUGACGCUGAUCGAUGCUUGCUGAAUGUUUAUGGACAUCAAACAGAGGAUAUGAGCGCAGCAAGGCAGUGGGUGGUACAUUUCAACAGUGGCAACAGUGACAGAGGGACCCCUUUGCUGGUGCAGUGGUGCAGCAUGAGGGAGAGGCCUCUGCUUUGCUUUGAGAAGGCCCAGGAAGGAUCUGAGUGUUGACUACAGCUGCCUAAUAGUUUCUACUGCCUCUUGUCAGUCCUUCAGACAAGGCAUGAAAGCAAAACACUGCAAACAUCCAGGAGAAGGGGGCACACUGGGAUCAUCUGGUUCCAUGUUAGCAUAAGCACAGCAAGCCAUCACCUGACUCGUGAAUACAACUGGGUUUGGUCUUAGUUCAGCAAGUCUGUACAUGCUCUUGGCACACCGUUAGCAAUUUAGUCACUGUACGGGAAACAAACACCUCCCUUUCCUCUUCACCUGAUAGUAGGGGCUGAACACUUUCACGUUGCUUGAGGUACACUGGGGUCAACUGAUGGGGACCUGCAUACCUGUGCCCAUAAGCUCUCUUCUUAAGAGCACUAUACCAGAAAAUGCAGAGAAUGAACCAGUCCAAAUUACUUAGAAUGCAUGACUGAUAGCCAGCUGUUCUUUGUGCACUGCCAUGGAGGGCCUGGCUUCACCUGCAACCAUUCAUUCCGUGGGCAAGGAAAGAACAGGCUGAGGACAGCAAUCACCAAAUUGGCCAUCUCAUCCUCUGGGUGCAAAACCCCAGCACCAGGCUCCAAGGACCUCACAGGCCCUCUAACGCACCCCCUUCAGUCCCAGUGCGGCUGCCCAGAGGACACCAGGCCCUCUCCUCCACACCCCUCUCCUUUGGCAUCAGGGCAGAAGAGAUGCCACCUUCUCACGCUCCAGGGCCAGAGCUGAAGGAUGGCAAAGGACAGCCGAUACAAACACAGAAACUCCACUGUUUUUAAUGACUGUCUCUCCCUCGGCUGCCUGUGGGGUGUCAGCAUGCUUUGCUCCUCCUCCACCCCAGGCAGCUGCAGGGUGCUCGAGAAGCCCCUGCCCAGACUGACCCUCUUGCUACAUUCUUGCCACUGCCUCCCAGAAAUGGCCGCAGGCCCCAACAGCCAGCCGCCAUGUUUGGGCCAGCACGUGGCACUCAGAAUCCUGUCGCCAUGGGCACCAAACUGCCCUCAACUGCAGUCCCUGAGCUGACACAGCUGGAGACAGUUGCACUCCUAGCUCUCUGAAGGAGAUACUUGUUAUUUCUGAGGACGGGAUGGAGCAGCCACCUUUCAAGAAGAGGCGGCUGCUGGAAGAGGCUGAUGACAUCGAGCCCAUGGAGGUGGACCCGCCUGGCAGCCAAGAAGAGCCCAUGGAGGUGGAUCCACCUGUGGCAGAUGAGCUGAUGGAAGUGGAUCCACCUCCAUCAGGGCAGACUGGCCAUCUCUCUGCUGCUGCCAGGCCAACCAGGAAGAGGUCGCGCCCCAAAUUUCAUCGCAGGGGCGCCAGGGUCUGUCCACCUCCCGCAAAAUGGCCGCCUCGACGCCAGCGCUGAUCCUCCCGUCCUCCAAGGCUCCUACGAGCCCUUCCUUCCCGACCCUCUCCCUCGUCCCUUCCCAAGUCCUCUCAUCUCUUCUUCACCAAGUCCUGAGGAAGAGGGCAGGGCAGGGCAUCCAUCCUCAGAGCUGCUGUGCCAGGGCAGCGGGACCUCAAACAUCACAGGGGUGCGAGGAUCCUAACAAGGCUCCCAUGAGCCCAUCCUUCACGUCCUCCUCUCCCAUCCCUACCUCAGACAGGAGAAGUAGCCAAAGAAGGGAUAGAGGCAG